rnacentral:rRNA from 1 species
AAUGGAGGCAACUCUGACCCAGCCAUGCCGCGUGCAGGAAGACGGCCCUAUGGGUUGUAAACUGCUUUUAAUAGGGAUUAAAGUCGACUACGUGUAGUUGUUUGCAAGUACCUAUAGAAUAAGCAUCGGCUAACUCCGUGCCAGCAGCCGCGGUAAUACGGAGGAUGCAAGCGUUAUCCGGAUUUAUUGGGUUUAAAGGGUGCGCAGGCGGACUAAUAAGUCAGUGGUGAAAUUUACAUGCUUAACAUGUGACGUGCCAUUGAUACUGUUAGACUAGUAUACAAAUGACGUAGCUGGAAUGUGUUAUGUAGCGGUGAAAUGCAUAGAUAUAACACAGAACACCGAUCGUGAAGACAGGUUACGAAUUUGUGAUAGACGCUCAUGCACGAAAGCGUGGGGAUCAAA